rnacentral:rRNA from 1 species
UUCGGGACAACUCUGGGAAACUGGAGCUAAUACCGGAUACGCCCUUUUGGGGAAAGGUUUACCGCCGAAGGAUCGGCCCGCGUCUGAUUAGCUAGUUGGUGGGGUAACGGCCUACCAAGGCGACGAUCAGUAGCUGGUCUGAGAGGAUGAUCAGCCACACUGGGACUGAGACACGGCCCAGACUCCUACGGGAGGCAGCAGUGGGGAAUAUUGGACAAUGGGCGCAAGCCUGAUCCAGCCAUGCCGCGUGAGUGAUGAAGGCCUUAGGGUUGUAAAGCUCUUUUAUCCGGGACGAUAAUGACGGUACCGGAGGAAUAAGCCCCGGCUAACUUCGUGCCAGCAGCCGCGGUAAUACGAAGGGGGCUAGCGUUGCUCGGAAUCACUGGGCGUAAAGGGCGCGUAGGCGGCGUUUUAAGUCGGGGGUGAAAGCCUGUGGCUCAACCACAGAAUGGCCUUCGAUACUGGGACGCUUGAGUCUGGUAGAGGUUGGUGGAACUGCGAGUGUAGAGGUGAAAUUCGUAGAUAUUCGCAAGAACACCGGUGGCGAAGGCGGCCAACUGGACCGGCACUGACGCUGAGGCGCGAAA